CUUCCGCUCUGCUCCCUUCUAUUGAGCCGCUGGCGCGCGUCCCCUCUUCAUCCAUGGGCUCUCUCUUUCUCUCCCUGCGCGCUGCUCUUCCACUCUCCUGCCCGGUGGUACUCCGCGAGGAGGUUCUUCAGCAGCAGUAGCAGGCGGCGCCGGCCACUCCUUGUUCAUUUACUUUUUGUUUUGUCUUUUUCUUUUCCUCAGUCAUGUUUGGACUGGUCGUCCUUUCGUGUUGCACAAGGGUGAUUUCGCCAAAGUUUCCUUUAUCUCGCCUAACUGGUUGAAAAGAUAUGUAUACGACUACCGAGUAGGUCGUACUAACUGGGUCUUCCGUAGCUUUGUGAGACGAGAGUAGAACUUCAAGGUGUAUGUCUACAAGCCUAAGACUACAAUCGUACCUUUUACCCGACACUUUUCGUUCCAAUAAAAUGAGACCUACUUACCUCUUGACCCUACUUUCGAGACGCUCGACUAUCGUAGUCAUUUGACUUCUUUCGGAAAGGACUUGACCAGGUUCUUCAAUGCUCCAGGAGAUUAAAGGUCCUAAAGAUAGGUAUACGCAAGGCAAUAACGGAUUGUCUCCUGUUCUUCUUCACAUAUCUUUAUGGACAACGAACACUCAAUAACUUAGAUCACAACUCGAACGUCAAGGCGGGCGUCCAACUUUUUGAAUAAUUAAUGGAAUUCGUAGUUUUACUCAUGUUCCAAUAUUUGUACCUAGUUACCUACCCUAAAGAAGCCAAGACGUUACUCUAUUUGAAGGGUAGUGAACUGUUAAUACUACGUCUGGUUCGAACCGGAAAUUAAAAUCUGUUAAAACAACUUACCAAUUCUCGUUCACUUUUAAUCGAGACAACAUGACUCACCACCACUUCUACGUUAGGUUUACAUUAUGAGUCUUUAGUGGAACCUCUUAAAACCUCCUACGUCUAGUUCGAGCAAACACUGACGAGACAAGUCUCAGACCAAAAUCUUUAAUAGUUAGCGGAACAUCAAACGGAAAACGAAAGAAAUAUGAACUAAAUUUAUGAAACGUCCCAGUAGUAGAUCUUAAAAUGUAACAGUAAGAGAUAUAAACAUAAUAAGUUACCGAAGCAUCCACACAUCAAAACUCUCGUACGUUUAAAAGACCUUCAGAACUUUCUUGUACAACCGUAUACAACAAGGAGAGAACGGGACAACCGGGUAG
rnacentral:rRNA from 1 species